CGGAGGAUGCAAGCGUUAUCCGGAUUUAUUGGGUUUAAAGGGAGCGUAGGCGGACUUUUAAGUGAGAUGUGAAAUACCCGGGCUCAACUUGGGUGCUGCAUUUCAAACUGGAAGUCUAGAGUGCAGGAGAGGAGAAUGGAAUUCCUAGUGUAGCGGUGAAAUGCGUAGAGAUUAGGAAGAACACCAGUGGCGAAGGCGAUUCUCUGGACUGUAACUGACGCUGAGGCUCGAAAGCGUGGGGAGCAAACAGGAUUAGAUACCCCCGUA
rnacentral:rRNA from 1 species